UCAACGUUUCAAAAAUCAGCAGAGAAAGAAGUUUAAAAUGUUAUUUAUAUUGUUAUAAGUCAUACUCUUAACGCAUAUAUGGAAAUUUAUUUAUUUGAUACUGGCUUGAGUAAAAUGUGUUAUGGCUUUAUAGCGAUGUAUAAAUAAGGAGGGUAUACAAGUUAACAAACACACAUAGGUUUAAAUAUAAUCUAGGAGCAAAUUAUCUCAUAAAAAUCAUCAAUACCGUGACAAGAAUUUGUAUUGCCACCAGCUCAUCAGUUUCGAAUUUUAUAACAAAAAUUGUUGGAUUUGGAUGUAUGGUAAUCAACUAUGGGGUGCGAUAUAUGCAAUUACCAUUGACAUAAUGCAGAGGUUUUAAUCAAAAAUGCUCAGAGCUAUCACAGCUCCAUGGAAAAAGGAAGCAGAGACUGUAGAAUGAAUAUACAUAUCAAAACUACGUGAGCAUCCAACCCCAUUGGUCAACAAAACCUUGGUAAAUUCUUAUAAGGCAACCCGCUUGAAAAGAAUAAAUCUACCAGCCUACUAAAGAGCAACCAAAUAAGAUUCAGGGGUUAAGUGGAUUUCAAAAUUUCAAAAUUUGAAAACAUUUCUUUGUCUUAUUAAAAGUGCAAUAUGUUUAAAAUAUUAUGCAAAAAUAUCAAAUCAAUCCGAGUAAUAUUCUAAGAGAAGUACUCUUUGGAAUUUCCGCUCAUCAGUCCGAAUGUAAAACUUUAAACGCAUUUAUCUCAAAUUUAAAUUUUUCAAGUCGGUGGACACGAUAACUCAAAAAGUUAUGCAGCGAUUUUGCACACUUCUUUGGAAUAACAUUAUCUAGUUAAUGAACGAAGAAUUUUUUUUUUAUUUUUAUUAUAAUUAUUUUUUUCCGAUCCAAUAUAUGCCGAAAAUUUGACAAAAAAUAAUAAUUUUUUGAUUAAAAUUCUGACAAAAAUUAAAAUUUCA